GGGCUCGUAGAUCAGGGGUAGAUCGCUACCUUCGCAAGGUAGAGGCCGCGGGUUCGAAUCCCGCCGAGUCCA
rnacentral:tRNA from 6 species